AUUGAACGCUGGCGGCAUGCCUUACACAUGCAAGUCGAACGGCAGCACGGGAGCAAUCCUGGUGGCGAGUGGCGAACGGGUGAGUAAUAUAUCGGAACGUGCCCGGUCGUGGGGGAUAACGUAGCGAAAGCUACGCUAAUACCGCAUACGAUCUACGGAUGAAAGCGGGGGAUCGCAAGACCUCGCGCGAUUGGAGCGGCCGAUAUCAGAUUAGGUAGUUGGUGAGGUAAGGCUCACCAAGCCGACGAUCUGUAGCUGGUCUGAGAGGACGACCAGCCACACUGGGACUGAGACACGGCCCAGACUCCUACGGGAGGCAGCAGUGGGGAAUUUUGGACAAUGGGCGCAAGCCUGAUCCAGCAAUGCCGCGUGCAGGAUGAAGGCCUCGGUGUAACUGUCUUUGUACGGUAACGGAAACGGUAGGUAGC
rnacentral:rRNA from 1 species